CUGCUACACUGCCUGGUCAGGAGACUGUUCUGUUUCCCAUGUCCAGUAUUGCCUGGGGAGAGGGGAUAUGAGCAAGCCGUGGGAGCCGUGGAACAGGAGGCAGAGAAGACUGUGUAAUGAAGGGAGACCAAGAAGAACACUGCUCCAUUGAUUACUAUCAAGCCAUGAGAAUACUGAACUUCAGUCGUCACUGGGGAAGUUCACCUGACAUUCUCUCAGCUCUGGGUUUAUCUGCAUUGACAGGACAAUAAAAAUUCUUGUCUGUCACUCUACCACAAUCACCUUUGGCUUCUGCACUUGGUUGUGGAAGAAUUUAA